ensembl:lncRNA
AUUACUAUGAGGGUCUCUCGUCCGUACUGCGAAGGCUUUAAAAACUAUUUGUUCAAUAGUCGGAAAACAAUGGAGUCAUUUAACAAGUUCCUUUUUAAUCCACAUCCAUAUUGUCUGCGACUGAUUACAUAGUUGUGUGUUAGUUGUACAGUGUUUUACCUGCAUUGAUGAAGUAAACUAAACAUGUCUAACCAGAACUGUCCAUCAUCUGUUCAAUGCUUAUGUUCGCGUUCCGUGUGCACGCUGCGGGACACCGUACUCAAGGUGUGCGUGCGUGGCGAAGUCGGUUGUUCCACAAAGCCCUUUAUUCCAUUCCUUCUUUACGGGUUUGUGAAUGUUUUUAUUAUUCAUUCCUGAUGGAAUGAAUUCAUCUUACAUCUGGACACAUCUGGCAGUUUUACUGUUAGCGAGGAGACACCCAAGUCUCUGGUCUCCGAUCCGUGAGAUGCUGUGUCUCUAUCACUCGUCCCCCCAGGUAAGACUUGUGGGUGAGGAGUCAGCAGAGAGUCCAUAGAGCAGGUAAUAAAAGGUGUUCUGACAAAGCGUGAGAGGUCCUUCAGGAAUCAGGAAUCAGGAAACAUUUAUUUGCCAAAAUAUGCCAAACAUACAAGGAAUUUGUCUUGGCGGUUAGUGGGCGACAGUAGACAGACAAGACAACAGUGCACAAGUAAUAAAAUAAAGUGGAAUUAAAUGCUCAGCAAACGUAAUUAACAACAAAAGCAACAAAAACAAAGUGCACCGAAGCACCGUGGCGGCCAUCAACGGCGCCAUCUUGGUGAGCAAGAUUCAGCCUGAGGAGAUGUUAGUGGACAGACAACAAGGUUCACACUCACUCGCAAAAAACCAACACACAUCACAGUUUGAAGAAAAGGCAUCUUGGUGUAGAUCUUAACCAAACAUCUACACCAGCUGUAGAUACCGAUUUCCCUGGUGCGUGUUUAUGCUCAAACAUGCUCUCCGUUGUUCUCUUCCACAACUUCUUCCAGUCGUGUUAACAGCUCUGCCGGUUCAAGCUUUUCCCUCCACAGAAACCUGGAUUUACAUUUCUCGAUCAUCUCUUUUAAGGGCGGAUGUUGCAAACAUCUUCUCAUGAACGCUGAGCUCUGCUCUCUGGGUGUUGAUAACAGAACCAGUGAAUGAUCAAAUGAUCGGUCCAGGAUCAGAGAGGCGCCUGCAUGCUUCACACAGGCUGUGAUUGGAUGUCCAGGAAAGCAGCAGAUCUGGAGUGUUGAUCAGAACCACUUCUUUCUCCUUCAGCCAUCCUCUUUGUUUUAAACAGUCCGGUUCUUCCUCAGACUUGAACUGAUUGAAGUGAAGACACUCGGCCAGGAUGAAGUUCCCCACCGAGCUCCUCUCAGACCAGCUGCUCCCCAGCAGAACGACCCUCAGCCCGGACACUGAGAAGAAGACGACGCUGUGUGAAGGUGGAUCCAAGCGAACACUGUACUCACAUCACGGCAAACAUAAGUUACACUCACGGUUUGGUGGCAGCAUUUCAUAACUGCUGCUCCGCUUCACAGGCCGAAGAUCAGCAGCUUCUGAAGGAGCAUUGAUUUAUUCACACGUUAUCUUCAAGUCCUUUUCAUCACUCAGUUCUAUUGAUGUUUUCUGAGGGUCUCAUUAAUCUCAGAUGAAGCCGUCAAUAUGUGGCUGAAGUGAUAUGAUAAAACCAUCGCGUCACACCUUCAGGAACUACGGCCAUUUUGACGCAGUCACAGAUCCUCAAUUCUGCUUUUCAAUUAAGAGGAACGAGCUCGUCGGUACUGGAUGUUGGAAUUUACAAACCCGUUCAAAAAACACUGGGACCGGGCCUUUCCUCUGAAGCACAGCACUCAGGUCAGCCCCCCGGAGGUUAACCCUAACCCUAACCCCUGACUGAGACCACCAGGGCAAGAAGAACUGAGAUAACGCAGACGAGCUAAAGACUCUAUGAAGAGACCAACAGCAGGUCGGCUGUGCUGAUUACACAAAAUAAAAUAAACUGGCAUGCGCUGAUAAAAAGACAACCCUCAGUUUCAAUCACAAGAACAUCUGAUCCAAUCAAAUUAACUAAAUCAAGGAAAAUAAAAGUCUGACAAUGAUAACGAUGUUUUACAAAAAAAAAAAGGUAGUGAAUGAACAUUUUCAUCUUAAAUCUCUACCAGACGACAUAUUCGCUGAAAGCAAAGCUAUUUGUCACCACUGCGAACUAGUAUCUCAUCACCAGAGUACUACGAGCCUGAAGUACUACCAGCCUGAAGUACUACAAGCCUGAAGUACUACCAGCCUGAAGUACUACGAGCCUGAAGUACUACCAGCCUAAAGUACUACCAGCCGGAAGUACUACCAGCCUGAAGUACUACCAGCCUGAAGUACCACUUAAAGUGACGUGAGUCACGUGUUCUGUUGAAGACGACCUGCAGAGUCACGUCUUUGUGUGUGGAAGUCGCUGGUGGCUUUAUUUAUUGAUCAUAGACUUUAUUGCCCCGUGCAUCCACACUGCUGCUUUCCAUCACGGACACAUUUGUCCCGUAUUUUCCUCCACGACUUUGUUCCCUCGUUUGUGGAGAUCUCCCUCCAUGAAUCAGAGGCCGUCCGGCGUCCUCAUAGUCCGCCAAUGACGGCUUGUACAAGCGCUCAUAUUUACGCGUUUUCAGGGCGCGACCGACGCUGCUGCAGCUUUAAUUGUUAAAUGAAACCUAAACUUUUUUUAGGCCAACAAAUGCUCCAAUAAUAGAAAUUAGGACAAUAUUUCUGACUUGGUUUGGUAUAUUUACCUUUACUGAUACUCUUGCCGUCACACACGGUGCGUCUGCCAGCUGCCAACAUCACUCCAGUCACCACCGCCGGCACGGCAAAUGCCACCGCCGCUCCCACUGCCGCUCCCAAUGCUCCGCCCGCCGCCCCGAUCGCCGCAAAUGCCAAUGCUCCGGCCGCCCCCGCUUCGCCUGCCCCGAACGCCGCUCCUGCCAAUGCUCCGGCCGCCACCGAUUCGGCUGCCACUCUGGCUGGUCCCCUGACCGCAGCUUCAACAGGCACGGGAUGCCGCGCCCGCCCGCCACCGCCGCCGCCACUU